UCCAGACUCCUACGGGAGGCAGCAGUGGGGAAUAUUGGGCAAUGGGCGCAAGCCUGACCCAGCAACGCCGCGUGAAGGAAGAAGGCUUUCGGGUUGUAAACUUCUUUUGUCAGGGACGAAGCAAGUGACGGUACCUGACGAAUAAGCCACGGCUAACUACGUGCCAGCAGCCGCGGUAAUACGUAGGUGGCAAGCGUUAUCCGGAUUUAUUGGGUGUAAAGGGAGCGUAGACGGAUGGAUAAGUCUGAAGUGAAAGCCCGCGGCUCAACUGCGGGACUGCUUUGGAAACUGUGCAUCUUGAGUACGGGAGGGGCAGGCGGAAUUCCUGGUGUAGCGGUGAAAUGCGUAGAUAUCAGGAGGAACACCGGCGGCGAAGGCGGCCUGCUGGACCGAAACUGACGUUGAGGCUCGAAAGCGUGGGGAGCAAACAGGAUUAGAUACCCCAGUC
rnacentral:rRNA from 1 species